GAAACAGAAGAACGACACUUCUUCUGUCUAGCACCAGAACCAAGGAAAUGAUCGUCAAAGUAUUUCCAUGCUGUAAUCCCCAGGACAAAGUCUAACUUCAGUUCAAUUAAAACUGACUACUAUAUCUAGGGCCAUGGGUAAGGUAUGUCUGCGAAAGAUAAAAUUAUCACCUUCAAAGUUCUAGCAGGAAAGAAGAUGAGUUUUAAAAUAGCCUAUAGUUCAGGACAGAAGAAAAAAAAUAAGUGCCGUAUGAAACCCACAAAAGGCAAAAUUAGUUUCAGAUGAUGAAGAGAUCCUACCAAGAUGAUAAUUAGCAAGCGCCUUGCAGGAGAAUGGCUGCUUGAAAUUGACUUGGAAAGAAUUGAUAGAAUUUCAAUAAUUGGAAAAGGAGAAUAAGAGAAAGGCGCUCCAAGUGGAGGGACUAGCCUCUAGAAAAGGGGCAGAGAAUGGAAACCUGGAGUACGUUUAAGGACAAAAUGACAGUUGACUGUUUGACAGGAAUGUCGAGGAAGUUUUAGAAACGCAACUCUGGAGCUGGGCAUGACAGCACACGCUUGGAUGCAAGCCCAGGAUGCCGUCAUCCAGGACUCUGAAAACUCUUCUUUGUCACGAGCUUAGGCAGAAAGUCUCUCCAGCCGUGGGUCAGAAUAAGGAAGACCAGGUUCAAGGAGGCCAAGGCAUGAACCUAGAGUCGCCCAGCUG
rnacentral:lncRNA from 1 species